rnacentral:tRNA from 3 species
GCCGGCGUAGCUCAGUUGGUAGAGCAGCUGAUUCGUAAUCAGCAGGUCAGCGGUUCGAGUCCGCUCGCCGGCUCCA